AUGCUAACACCAGAUGACCUCAGAACAGAUGAUCCAGUGGCGUUGCAACAUCUGAUUGAAGGCCUAUUCUUGGGAAUCCAGCAGAAAAAGAGGGAUCUGUAUCGAGUAACCAACCGUAACAAACAGCGACACAAGAUCCAAAGACGGAUUAGAGAGGAUAAGAAAAAGCUGUUUAAUGCCAUAUCCCAAUACAAUACAAUCUUCCAAACACUACAGAAUCUGUAGAUUCAGUUGAAGACCUUCUGGCAACAGAAAGCCCUAUCUGGCCUUGGGAUUCUGGUAUGUAAAGUUUGACAUUAACAAUUUUAGUGAAUCUUCAUUUAAACACUUACCUCAUUAAGCUCCG
ensembl:lncRNA